AUUUUUUUUCCUGUUUUCUUAGAUGAUUUCCCUUCCUCAGGGAUUUUUGAAGUGACAGCCAACUCUUCUGGACGAUUUUCCACUUCCUGUUCAAGAUCACCUUUUCUCUUCCUUUUUCUUUUUUUAUUUACUAAUGUUGCCUCUAAUGAAACCUGUUCUUCUGCCUCUUCAGAAACACCCAGCGAUUCCUUAUUCUCCUUCUCAGCCGUCACAGUAUCAGCUUCUGUUUCUGCAUCAGAAAUUCUGGCUUCCUGAAGAUCAUCUUGGUUAUCAGUAGUUUCUGUGUUGGCAACCUUUCCUUUUGGCUUCUUCCUAGGCCUUAGUGGCUUCUUUUCCUUUGGCUUCUGGCUCUUAACAGUCUUCUGCCUCCUCUUUUCCUCAUCUGCCAAGACCUUCUCAAGAAGCUGGGCGAACAAUUCAAAAUCAAAGGGCCGUUUUUCUUUGAAAGCUUUGUCUAUCCUCCAUCCAUUUGCUUUUUCCUCACGUUUGAACUUGUUCUUAAUUUCUGCUCUG
rnacentral:lncRNA from 1 species